UGUGACAAACUAUUAAGCAACACCAUCCUUAGACCCAGGCGAGGGCAGUCUCUGCCGUUGCUUAGCAGGGCCCUAAUCUGUCCUUCUUGAAGUCGCAGUCCUGGCCCACAGAUGACUGAAAUGACCAAAGAACUAGAAAAAAAUCCUUGCAUACCCACCUGCCAUAGUGUCCUAGAGCUGCCAUAACAAAGCACCACACAUUGGGUGAUUACAGCAACAGAAAUUUAUUCUCUCCCAGUUCCAGAAGUUGGAAGUCAAGGUAUCAGUCGGGCCAGGCUCCCCCAGAGGCUGCAGGGGAGAAUCCUCCUUCACCACUUCCAGCUCCUGAAGGCUGCGGGCAAGGCUUGCAUUGCUCAACUCCUAUGCAGCUUCCCCCUUCCAGUCUCUGCCUUCAUCUUCACAUGGGCUUCUUCCUUCUGAGUGUAUCUCGGUGUAGUCUCUCCUCGUCUUAGAAGGACAGCAGUCACUGGACUUAGGGCGCACCAUACCCCUGUAUGAUAUCCUCUCAACAGUUACAUCUGCAAACACCCCAUUUCCAGUUAAGGUCACAUCCUGAGGUUCCUGGUGGAUGUGGAGUUUGGGGAGACAUUAUUCAACCCUGUACAAAGACUCUUGUUUUUUGUUUCUGUCUCUGUUUCUUUGUCUCUGUCAUUCUCUCUUCUUUGCAGGAUGAGUUAGCUUUGUAAAAAUUAAUUGGGACACUUUUAAAUUUUUUAUACCCUGAAAACAAUUCGAUCAUAUAGAAAUUCUCUCUUCCUUUAAGGUUUGACAGAAUUUGCCCAACGCCUCCCCCAAAUUGCCUAAGUUCACGUUUCAUCAAAGUCUUGCAGAGUUCUUUAUCAGCUGCUUCUGUGACGUUUCAUCUUGUUGAAUUUUUCUGCCUAUUCUUGAGUGGAUUAUAUUGUCUUAUUUUGGUUAAUAUUUUAUUAGCAUAAAUUUAAACACAGUGUGCUUUUAGCUUGAAUCCUCUUUCAUGUCUUUGUCUCUCAUCCCUUUUAUAUUUCUAGAGCUGUUUAUUUGCAUUUUUUUCUUUUUUUUCCUCAUGCAAACUUGCCAGAGGUUUGUCUCAUUUAUUGGUCUUUUUUUUUUUUUUUUUUUUUUUUUGCGCAUGGUUCCUAGUCGGAUUCGUUUCCACUGUGCCACGAUGGGAACUCCUUAUUGAUCUUUUAAAAGAGUUAGCUCUUUGAUUUGUCUUAUCAAUUCUAUUGUUUUCUGUUUUCUAAUUUGCUUUUGUCUGCUUUUCUCUUUCCUUCUUUCCUUCUGCCACCCUUAGAUUUAUUUUAUUAGUUUUUAAUCUCAGUUGUUUAGUUAAUUGCUUUUUUAUUCAUUUUUAUCUUAUAACAAAACCACUUAGCUUUAUCUUU
rnacentral:lncRNA from 1 species